rnacentral:rRNA from 1 species
GACGAACGCUGGCGGCGUGCUUAACACAUGCAAGUCGAACGAUGAAGCAGGAGCUUGCUCCUGUGGAUUAGUGGCGAACGGGUGAGUAACACGUGAGCAAUCUGCCCUUGACUCUGGGAUAACUGCGGGAAACUGUAGCUAAUACCGGAUAUGAAACCUUGGGGCAGCCCAGGGGUUGGAAAGAAUUUCGGGCAAGGAUGAGCUCGCGGUCUAACAGCUAGUUGGCGAGGUAAUGGCUCACCAAGGCGCAGACGAGUAGCCGGCCGAAGAGAGUGAACGGGCGCAGUGGAACUGAGACACGGUCCAAGCCCCGACGGGAGGCAGCAGUGGGGAAUAUUGAAUAAUGGGCGAAAGCCUGAUGCAGCAACGCCGCGGGAGGGAUGAAGGCCUUCGGGUUGUAAACCUCUUUUAGCAGGGAAGAAGCGAAAGUGACGGUACCUGCAGAAAAAGCACCGACUAACUACGUGCCAGCCGCCGCCGUAG